rnacentral:rRNA from 1 species
AACGAACGCUGGCGGCAUGCUUAACACAUGCAAGUCGAACGGUAAAGCCCCAUCUUGCUGGAGUGGAUCAGUUGCGAACGGGUGAGUUGCCCGUGAGCACGCUACCCCUGCCUGAAGAAUAUGCGCUGACCGGGGCGUCUCAUACUGCCUACGAGAUGGGUCCUCAUGGGGACCUUCUGGUAAGUUUGUCGGUUGGGCAUGGGCUCGCGGCCUAUCAGCUUGUUGGUGAGGUAAUGGCUCACCAAGGCAACGACAAGUAGCCGGCCUGCGAGGGCCACCGGCCACACUGGGACUGAGAUACGGCGCAGACUCGAACGGUAGGCAACGGAGGAGAGUAUUGUACAGUGGGCGAGAGCCUGAUGUAGCGAAGCCGCGUGGGGGAUGACGGCCAGGGGGUUGGGAACCUCAGUCAGCAGGGAAGAAGCGAUAGUGACGGUACCUGCAGAAUAAGCACCGGCUAACUACGUG